UACGUAGGUGGCAAGCGUUGUCCGGAAUUAUUGGGCGUAAAGCGUGCGCAGGUGGUUUCUUAAGUCUGAUGUGAAAGCCCACGGCUCAACCGUGGAGGGUCAUUGGAAACUGGGGAACUUGAGUGCAGAAGAGGAAAGUGGAAUUCCAAGUGUAGCGGUGAAAUGCGUAGAGAUUUGGAGGAACACCAGUGGCGAAGGCGGCUACCUGGACCGGUUCUGACGCUGAUGCGCGAAAGCCAGGGGAGCAAACGGG
rnacentral:rRNA from 1 species